GCUUUUAAAAGCUUAUCAACUUCUUCAUUAAUAGCUUUUUACCUUUUCGAGGUGAAACUUCAUUUUUUCUGCUAAAUCGGCUUGAAAUUUGAAUCUACAUUUAGUUUAUGAAUAAUCAUCAUGGUUAGGAUGCCAAACAUAUCAGAAGCCGACCAAACAAAGACAUCAGCAUUAGCCUGUAGAAACUUAAUUAGUCUCUCAUUUA
rnacentral:lncRNA from 1 species